GUUGUUGCUGGUCCUCAACGGGGACAUGUGCACGCUCUGUUUACACAUCCACUCACACCUGUGCACCCUCCGUAGUUCUGUGGUCUGGGGGACCCUGUCUUCCUGCCGUGGUUCUACGUCUUUACACACACACUGUAAUAAAGUCUUAUGGAAUGUAUGCCGCGUCUAACGCAAUACAAUACAACUUUCAGCAACGGAUCUCUUGGCUCUCGCAUCGAUGAAGAACGCAGCGAAAUGCGAUAAGUAAUGUGAAUUGCAGAAUUCAGUGAAUCAUCGAAUCUUUGAACGCACCUUGCGCCCCUUGGCUAUUCCGAGGGGCAUGCCUGUUUGAGUAUCAUGAACACCUCAACUCUCAUGGUUUGCCGUGAUGAGCUUGGACUCUGGGGGUUUUGCUGGCCUGCGGUCGGCUCCCCUCAAAUGAAUCAGCCUCCCAGUGUUUGGUGGCAUCACGGGUGUGAUAAAUAUCUACGCUCGCAGUUGUCCGCCAGGUAACCUUUGGUAACAAAGGUUCGCUGGAGCUCACAGAUGUCUCUCCUCAGCGAGGACAGCUUUUUGAACGUUCGAUCUCAAAUCAGGUAGGACUACCCGCUGAACUUAAGCAUAUCAAUA
rnacentral:rRNA from 1 species